AACGGAGGGUGCAAGCGUUGUUCGGAAUUACUGGGCGUAAAGGGCGCGUAGGCGGUUCGAUAAGUCCCGUGUGAAAGCCCCCGGCUCAACUGGGGAACUGCACGGGAAACUGACGGACUUGAGUUCGGGAGAGGGAAGCGGAAUUCCGGGUGUAGCGGUGAAAUGCGUAGAUAUCCGGAGGAACACCGGUGGCGAAGGCGGCUUCCUGGACCGACACUGACGCUGAGGCGCGAAAGCUAGGGGAGCAAACGGG
rnacentral:rRNA from 1 species